UAUAUUUUCAACAUCUAAAAAAAUUGAGAAUAUAUCAAUGAAGUCUGAUUUUGCUACAUUUUUAGUUUUUAUAUCCGUGAUGAGUCUCAUAACGGUUCAAAAUGUUGAUGGAAAACGUUUAUUACUCGACAAAAGUAUUCAAGAUUUGUUGCAUCAUGAAGCUUUAUCACCGGUUCCGAAACCACAAAGUCUUCACUGUAAGGAAGGGUGUCAUGUGAUAUGUGCCCCUAAUCCAUUUAUCGUACAAUGUGUUUGUGUAUGCUAAAUUGCUAAUUAUAAUUUCUUCUUGGCUAA